rnacentral:rRNA from 1 species
UUAAGAAAAUUUUUAUAAUAAAUACCAUUAGAUAAAUAAUAAAUCAUAUUACUAUAUAAUUUAAAUAAAAAUAUCUUUGGUUGGGGCAACCACGAAGAAAAAAAAACCUUCGUUAAAAAAAAGAAAUUUACAAAUUUAAAAAUCAUUAAAAAUUCCUUAAAGAUCCAGAAAAUUCUGAUCAAAGAAAAAAGUUACCGCAGGGAUAACAGCGUUAUUCUCUUUAAGAGCCCUUAUUGACAAGAGAGUUUGCGACCUCGAUGUUGGAUCGGGGCACCCAAGAGGUGUAGCAGCCUCUAAAGGUAGGUCUGUUCGACCUUUAAAGCCCUACGUGAUCUGAGUUCAGACCGACGCAAGU